ensembl:lncRNA
GGAAAAAUUCCCGAUCCUAAAAACGGCCGGGGUGAUUUGUUCCACAGAGCUGGAGGCAGCUUUGGAUGGAACCCUCCUCCCAAGGAAAGGAGAGCAGAGGAAAAGACUCUCCAAGGAGGAAAGGCUUUAAUGAGCUGCGAAGCCCUGAUCACCCGCGGAGAGCCGAGAUUAAUUAGGAGCUGCUGAAAGCCGAGCUCAAUUAGGAGUUUAAGCCGCUCCCGAGGUUUGUGCAGGCUCUGAGUGCGGGAAGGGCCGGGAUCGCCACUGGAUUCCUUCCCUUGGAUUCCCCGGGAUGGAGAACGAGGCUGUGCCCUCCAAAACCUGGCCCAGCUCCUCCAGGUGUUCCCAGCUCCUCCAGAAGUUCUAGCUCUUCCAGGUGUCCCAGCUCUUCCAGGUGUCCCAGCUCCUCUAGAUGUUCCCAGCUCCUCCAGGCUCCAGAUGUCCCAUCUCUUCCAGGUGUCCCAGCUCCUCUAGAUGUUCCCAUCUCCUCCAGGUGUCCCAGCUCUUCCAGGUGUUCCCAUCUCCUCCAGGUGUCCCAGCUCUUCCAGGUAUUCCCAGCUCUUCCAGGUGUUCCCAUCUCCUCCAGGUGUCCCAGCUCUUCCAGAUGUCCCAGCUCUUCAGGUAUUCCCAUCUCUUCCAGGUGUUCCCAGCUCCUCCAGACGUUCUAGCUCUUCCAGGUGUUCAGUUCUUCCAGGUGUCCCAUCUCCUCCAGACGUUCCCAGCUCCUCCAGGUGUUCUGUGUCCCUUUGGAAUGCAGUGCCUGGGUGACAGGGAGCGAGGCUGGGGAGGGGGCGUGCUCUGGAGAAGAGCCUGUGUUGGAUUCCCUGCUGGAUUUCCACCUUCCCAGCACUCCCAGGGAUUCCCUGCCUGUCCAGAGCCCGUCCUGGCUCCAUCCUCACCUCCUGGGGUGAGAUCCCGGUGCCUCCAUCAGGAUUUGGGAUCCCACAGCCUGGGAAGGAGGAGCGAGCCCUGGUGUCCCUGUGCAUCCAUGGGCUCCAGCAGCUCCUUUUCCCAAGUUUCCCUCAGUGCUGAGGGAUGGGUUUGGGUGGCCACAACAUCCCAGACCACAAAUUCCCACUUCUUUGAAGCAGAGAAUUAUGGAGUCCUGGAAUGGUUUGGGUGGGAAGGGAGCUCAAAGCAGAUCUGGUGCCACCCCUGCCACUGUCCCAGGCUGCCCCAAGCCCCAAUAUCCAACCUGGCCUUGGACACUUCCAGGGAUCCAGGGGCAGCCACAGCUGCUCUGGGAAUUCCAUCCCAGCCAGGAAUUCCUUCCCCAUAUUCCCUGAGUCAGUCUGAAGCCACUCCCCGUGUCCUGUCCCUCCACCCCUUGUCCCCAGCCCCUCUCCAGCUCUCCUGGAGCCCCUUUAGGCCCUGCAAGCUGCUCUGAGAUUUCCUCAGAUCCUUCCCUUUUCCAGAGCCUCUCCACCUUCCCAAGGAGGAAUUCCUUCCCUGUUUCCAACCUAAACUUCCCCACUUUUUUUCUGAACCCACUCCAGCUCCCAAGGAAACUUCCAGGAUGUUUCCCAGCCCAUCCCCAUGCCCAGAUCUCCCCCACGUGCACAACCUAAUAACGAGCGCACGCAAAACAUCCUAAACCCAGGAAAUUUAUGGAGCAUGACCCAAAUUGAAUUCUCCAUUACAGCAGGAUAAUUGAUUUUUUAGAAGAGAGAUUAAAUUUAUUUUCCGCCUCACUAACGAACAGCCAGAUUUCCCUUAAUUGCUUGGAAUGCAGAGUUGGGAUGAUUCAUUAAAGCCGGAACAUGCCUGGGUACAUUACACUGUGACUAAAGCUUCCCUGCUUGGAGCAAUUAAAGUGGAGAAAUUCGGGAUCUCGCAAGGAACUGAAUAAAAAUUCCAGCUCGGGAUGUCUUAUUAAGCUCCUCAAGGAAAAACUCACAAAUUCCCCCUGUCCUCCAGGGAAUCAUUUGGUGAUUCUUUUUUUUUUUUUUUUUUUUUUUUUUUUUUUUUUUUUUUUUUUUUCGGGGGGGGGGGGGGGGGGGGGGGGGGGGGUUUUUUUUUUUUUUUUUUUUUUUUUUCUCCCCCUGCCUGGCGUUGUUUUCUCCUCGUGCCAACCCCUAAAAAGAAGUGGUGUCUACGAGACAGAUUUCGUGCCUCGCUUCACAGUUUAAUUUUAUCAAUCACAACAUUUAGAACCCAAAUUGACAGCAGGGAGGCGACAUCCCCGGAUUCCGAGGGGAGGAAUUUUGGGCGGAAUCUCGGAACAUUUGGUAAUUAUAGACACAUUGCAAAAAUAAAGGUAGCGGUUGAGGAAAACAGGAGUGGAGAGGGAGGAGGCUGGGAGCUGGCAGGGAUAAAUGAGGAUUGUUUGGCACGUUUGAGUCCAAUCCCACCCAGGCUCCGAGGGCUCGUGGAAAAAGCGGAGAUGGAUGCGGAGCCCAGGCUGGGAUGGACACAGGGAUUGGGAUCCUUGGAAAACCAUUGGGAUGCUCAUUUCUGGCAUCACCUCACGGCAGGGUUAUCCAAGGGCAGGGGUGGGUGGGAUAUUGGGAAUAUUCCCUGUGAGGAUGGGCAGGCCCUGGCACAGAGCAGCUGUGGCUGCCCCUAGAGCCCUGGAAUGUCCAAGGCCAGGUUGGAUGGAGCUGGGAGCAGCCUGGGAUGGUGGGAGCUGUCCCUGCCCAUGGAAUGGGAUGAGCUUUAAGGUCCUUUCCAACCCAAAUCAUUCAAUUCAUCCGAACUGAGGAGGUCUGAAACUGGGAAGAACUGGACGGAGCAGGAUGCCGGAUCCGUGCCCAUGGAUAAAGGGGGAGGUCCCAGGACUUCCCAUUGGAUGGGGGGUUGGGGGGUUUCAGGCAAACCUUUCAGGCCUGGAUGUGCAGCCCUAAUGGGAACGAAGCCCUGAUGUUUUGUCUCCUGAAAAAUGGGACAUUCCUUCCCCAUCCUGAUCCCAGCCAGCUCUGUCCCUCUCUGCUGCCCUUGGAUGCUUUAAAAGCUGCAGGAUCCCGUGAGGAUUCCUGCUGCAGGAGGGAAUAAACCACUCCUGGAGGGAAUAAUCCACUCCAUGAGGGAAUAAACCACUCCAGGAGGGAAUAAACCACUCCAGGAGGGAAUAAUCCACUCCAGGAGGGAAUAAACCACUCCUGGAGGGAAUAAUCCACUCCAGGAGGGAAUAAUCCACUCCAGGAGGAGCUGCAGUGGGAUGACAGCAAUCCCAUCCUGAUCCAGGGAUUUUCCUUUUUUAUUUUUUUCCAGGAGAUCAAGGGACACUCUGGAGAAAGGAGCUGCCCUUUGUGUCCGUGCACUCGGAGCUGUUUCCCGGGAAGGGGGAGAUCAUUAAGGAAUAACGGAUGGCUCCACCCCGCUCGCGGUGCUGGGGAGCCUAAUUAGCGAUAACGAAGGAGGGAAUCAGCGGGGCUGCAGCCUGCAGAGGCCACAAAGUCAUUAAUUAUGCUAAUUAGGGGCGGCCUUUGUCCCUGCAGAAGGAGCCUUGGAGCUCCCGCCCCAACUCGGGGUGGGCUCACUCCCCGUCCCUGAAGAUUCCUCGUCCCGAUUUUUGCUUUGGGAUGGGUUUGGGGGGUUCUGGAGGGUCCCAGGGGAGCUCCUGGAGGGGAUGGAGCUGCAAGGCACGGCCAAGGAACUCUUCAUGUUGUUCCAAGGAUUUGCCAUUAAUUUUCAUCUCCAAUUGGAUCCAGCUUUCCUCCCAGAUCUUAAAGCUGGGAAGGAUUUGUUUUGGGAAUGUGGUGCAGGGGGUGGGAGUGUCACAUUCCUCUUCUAUUUACAGGAUAAUUAAGCUUGGAAUAUUAUAUUCCCAACCCCUGGAAGUGUUCCGUGGCAGGUUGGAGAGACCUGGAUUAGUGGAAAGUGCUUCACAGAGGGUGGAAUGGGAUGAGCUUUAAGGUCCUUUCCCAAAAGAAUUCCAGGAUUAAAAUAUUGUUCCUCCUUUGGAGAAAUAAAUUCAGUGGGGAAAUCCAGCUGAGUGUCCAUCCAAAUCCUGGGAAAUGAUGUGUGGGGUGCUGAGUGUUCAUCCCAUCCUAUCCCGUGGAUCCCAUUCCAUUCCAUCCCAUGGAUCCCAUCCCAUGGAUCUGAUUCCAUGCCAUGCCAGGGGGGGGGGGGGGGGGGGGGGGG